UUUAUGCAAUGCAUGACUUAAAGCCUUGUAUUUGAAAGUAAUUAAUGCAAAGAUCUUACAUUUAUCUCCUAGGACUCAAUUUGUCUUCCAGCCUUCAAUAACUUGAAGUCUUUAUGUUCUCACCCUUAAAGUUCCUAUAAUGUCAUUAAUCUUCCUGAAAUUGCAUAGAGCAUGUUUAGAGAUAUAAUAAGGUCAUCAUCUAAACAUUUAGGAUAGAGUAUCACAUAAGUCAACAUACAGGUAGUGUAGCCACCCUGUGUUUGUACUGGGAAGUGGUGCGGCCGCGCCACUUUGGUACAUGCACAGACUAGCCCUUGUUUCAGCAAAACUCAAAAACUCAACUUGUAUACUCACAAUGUAGCGUGCUCUAAACAACCAUAAUGACUUCAUACAACUUAGAUAGCAUGUUGACAUUGAUUCCUUGAUCAAUUAACAAGUAGUUUCAAGAAAUUUUAAGAAUUUGUAAAACUUGAACUCAAGAACAUAGCUAAUUAAAAGUUACCUCUUGAAUCUUGAAAUUGCUUAAAUUGCUCCUAAAAUUCUGAUUGCUCUCUAACUUCAGAACUCACUCUCAAAUUUUAGCUUAACAACCAAUCUAGCAAAGUGAAUUUGAGAAGAUGGCUUCCAAUUUAUAGAGAAUCCAAAACCCAUACAAAACCAUUGCCCAAGAGUUCUAACCCAAUAGAAAGAAGAAGAAGAAGAAGAAAAUGGAUAUUGAAGGUUUGGUGGAAUAGUUCCCACUAUUCCAUCUUCAGCCAUUCUUCUAGCCAUUACUAUCCUUCAAGUUAGUCUUUUUUGUUUUUCAGCAAUGUAGAGGUACCCUUUUGGUUAGACACGGCUGAAGAGAUAGAAUGGGACACAGAAAAUGGGAUAAGCCCUAAUGCUCCUCAUAUCUCAG
rnacentral:lncRNA from 1 species